AUCCAGCUCUGCUGCUCCGAUUAUCGACAGGGUAGGGUACUAAUAAAUAUCUUGCAAUCCAUGCCAAAAAGCGGCCAAUUACAUAGUUGCAUAGACAUACAUGCAAAACUCAACAGGGUCGAAUAACAACCAGGGAAAAAAAAAAAAAAAAAAAAAAAAAAAAACAAGAAACGAAAAAUAUACAACAGAGACGCUCGAGGUUUCGUCAACCGAACAAUCAAGCUAGCAUCAAACUUGCAUAUGAGUAUCAAUUCCGCGGAC
rnacentral:sRNA from 1 species